UUAAUUUAAGAUCUCCGAUCCUGCCAACCUAAAACCGUUUGGUUAUGGAUAGCAGGACGGUAGUUCCGCUAAAGCGGAACUCAAGGGUUAAAAGGGAAACCUUGUUAGCCUCCCAUUUUGGAAAGGAGAAAAAUAUGUUUAAGA
rnacentral:ncRNA from 2 species